rnacentral:lncRNA from 1 species
CUCGCUCGCCCUCGUGAUGGAGCGUCUUCUUUGCCCGGAAACCCUCCAGGUUUGUUUCUUUAUCGCUUCGAUCCCUGGCCAUUCAGUUUCCCGAAUGAUUCGUUCUUGUCCAUCGUUCGAUAUUUCUUGUUAGUUGCAUUCGAUUUGUGAAAUCAUGGUGAUCGGAGUUCGAUAUAGGCCAAGUUGAGAACUUUCUUUCUUUACUUCUUUAGUCUUUUUUAUCCUCAAAAUUUGGACUUUAGGAUCAUUACUCUCUAUGUAACGCACACGUUUUCUAUCCCGAAGCGAGUAGUUAGCUUCUCCAAUGGUUUGGAGCUUCAAUCUCUCUAGUUUAAGUGAAUGCUCAAUUUAGCUAAAUAAAAGCAUGAUUUACUGGUCUAAUGCUCAACUAUUGUUGUUUAUGUUUCUUUCAAAUCAAUAUAUGAUCAGGAACGAUCCAGCUCUACGUGUUUCCCUUUCAGUAAUCCCUGCCAUGAAUUACGAUGAAUUUGAUUAUAAGGUGACAUAGCUUGAGGGAGUACCUAAGAUACAUGAACUAUUCAGCAAAACAUUUCAAAUUUUAUGUGCCUUAACAUAUAGGAUAAUUCACAUCUAAUCCCAACUUUUCAUUUACUACACUUUAUACUAUUUACACUAGUUAUGCAUUAGUGACACUGCAGUUGCUCAUACAGUCUUCUCCAGUUCACGUUGUUGCAUUAUGGCUGUUUAUGCUGUCGUCCAAUUUUGGACUUGAUAUCUAGUAUCAGUAAUGUUUUUUUGCGUAGAUUAAUUGGUAAUGAAGUUUUUCCUGCCUAUUGUAUCUUUGGAAUUCAAAUUCCACAUGUUUCUUUUGGUUCUAGAUUUGGCAGGUAUCUUCCCUAUUGGACAGGACAGCUAUAAACUAUUUACACUUGAUUUCCUGUUAAAUGAAUACACUAGAAGGCAGUUUUCUGCCCUCAGCUUGUCUUGUUUAUACAUCACAGGAAUAAAAGUGUCGUUCGUAUUCUGUUUGAGAUACAUGCACCUAAAAGCUUUCAAUUUAUUAGACUAUUUUCAAUUUGCAUUUUUCUCAUAUAAUCUAUAAUUAUUUUUUACCUGUUUCAUUUUUUACCAUCCAUAUAAUGACAGCUUCUUCUCUACAAAGUUGACUUUUCAUCUACUGUCGGGUACUGUUGUUAGUCUGGUUCUGUUAGUUUCCUUUUUUAAGGGCAAAAUUAUUUUAUCUUUCAACAAGUGUGGAUCGGGUUGCUUGUCAUAAGAACUAUGUUCACAAAAAGCUUUGUGGGUAUUGUGGAGUCUAAUGACAUUACUUACAUAUCUAAUUGUCUAAACAUUCUUUUAUGGUAUGUAUCCAGUACAUCUGGUUUUUUUGUUUCCAAGAACUUUUGUCAUUUGAUUUAGGCAGUGUAGGAAUAAAAAUUUGGUCUCUAGAUAAAUAUUAUUGGUUGUUAUCUAAAUCUAUGAUAUUUUUACUGAAUUAAACAAGCAUGUUUGUCUGAGUCAAAAUGUAAAUUCUGUAUACAGCAAUCAUAUUAAAUUGACAUAAGCAUGCAAUCAUUAAAAAAUAUUACUGAGAAGGAUUUAUAAAUGAGUUUUAAGAGGUUCUGUGAAACUAGCAUAGCAUCAGGAGAAAAUAUUACAUAAUUUUGGAUGAAAUAAUUAACAUUGUAGACAAAUAUGGAUGGCUUGUGAAGCAAAAUUUGUGAAUGACAAUGACACUACAGAAACAAAUUCAAGAGUGAUGUAGGCAUAGCAUCACUUUGAGUACAUCUUGUUACAUUUUGCAAGAAUGCAAGUGAUAAGUGUUUAUGUUAUUAGAAACCUGAAGGAUCUUUUAAAGGGUAGAAGUUGACAAUCUAUACUACUUAUCACAUAUGAUGAAGGAAUUGUAUAGCAUAUGUGUUUUCAAGAAUAUCUGACUACUCAACAUGGACCGGUUUUCACAUAUUUAACUAAUAAAGCAAAAGCGAGGAACGAAAUUGUUCAACUUAUUGAUGCAAGUUGAACAACAAUCUCAAGAUUUAUGAAGUCUAUUAUAGUUUUAUAUCUUUGUAGAUGCUGGAACUAAAUAUUUGAAAGAUAAACAAGUUGGAUAAGUUAUAUGUUAAUUUGUUGUGUGAUAGUAAAUAUUAUAUUAAGUUGGAAUUUUAUGGCUAUGGUUCUGUUUAUAGGAAUUACCUUCUUAUUUGGAGAGAUAAUCAACUACAUGUGAGUACAAAAAGCCAUGUUUCCACAUGGUUGAAGAUAUACGCUAUUGCAUAGAUAACUGAAAUUUGGUAGAUAUGCAUAGUUGGAAUCUGUAACAAUGAUUGACCAGCAUGUUUGAAAGAAUAAUAUUCAUGUAAUAACUUCAAAAACAAAGAUGAAUUUUACUAAAGAGUUACAUGUUCCAGAACAAAAAGGUAUCUCUGAGAAGUACUAUCAUUCGUCAUUAUUGAGUCUUCAAAUUUAUUAAAUGCAACAGGAGACAAGAAAAUUCCAAAGUUAUGCAACUUUGCAAUGUUAUGCAACAGAGUUUGAGAGCACUUUUUUGUAAUUUAGCUUGAUUGUUAUGGUAGUGUCUAAAGAUUGAUAUACAAUAUCUAACUAAAUUAUCAAAAGGCUAGAAAUAGUCAUCACUUUAAUAGACAAUCUAACUUCUAGUUCUAGAAGUGAAUAAUCUUUGAUGAAACAUCUUGUGUAUAUAACAUUGUUUAAGAUCAAUUUCCUUUGAAGUUAGUACUGUAAUACCAAUAAUUGUCAAAACCACAUAGCAGGAGGAUGAUAUCAUAUUUGUUAAUAGUAAAAGUUAUAAUAUCUGGUAACAGGUUUUGUUUACAGGACAGGAUUGAGGAAGUGCUGAUUUUUAUUUCAUUAUUGUUGCAUUGCAAACCAAGAAAUCAAGCAGUUGUUAAUGCUCAAACAAAAUCACUAUCUCCAAAUAUGACAUGCAAAUGUGAAAUAAGAUUGAAUGACAUAGAGAUGGCCUUCGUAGGAUUGAUAGUGGAUUUGGUCAUGGAGAUUAUAGAUUGGGCAUUUACGAGGUUAUCUAAGGUGGAUAGCUAUAUAAUGAAUACUCAUAUGCAUUUAAAUGAAAGACUUAAGAGAUGCAACUUUUACAUGAUAAUUUUGAAUUUCACCCCUUAGCUUUUAUUUCUUUAAAACAGAAGGGGAGAGAGAGAGAGAGAAGACUUGCAAGAUACAUGAGGAUUAGCAGGAGCAUGUUUCAUACUUAACUAUAAAACAAAUUUUGAUUUAGGAAAUAAUACAAAAUGUUAGAAUUUUAAUACAUUUUUUUAUAAAAAGCAUACACUUCUCUCAAACCUAACUUUUGAUAUAAAUGUAACGAGAGGCAGAUACCCGUAACAUGAUUCUGUUCCCCAUUCUCUGUGUUCCUCUCCUUUUUUUGUUGUUGUCCUCAUCCUCAACUGAGAAUUUCUGUCCUAUUUAUUUUCCCAUGCUUUUUAUUCCUACAAAGUGUUGAUUUUUUAUGGAUAUAUGGUGUUAAACCUAUAAAUGAAGUAAAUUAAAACCUUUUUUUCUUCUGACGAACUAGGACCCUGUGAAGUAAAUCAAAACAUUAAUAAAAUUAGUUGUUUUGAAGUGUAAUGGUGUUCACCUCGUGUGUGGGGUAGAUCUAACCCUCCAAUAGAGCACUUCAGUUCAGCGACUGUUGACAGAUUUCCUUGACUUUUAUUCUAGACUGUGUUUAUAUAGAAUUGCUUUAUUUGGUUGUCAAUGGAUUGAUCUUAUAUAAUAGUGAACAAGAAGCAAGUUCUAGCAGGAUGAUUAUUGUUUACCUCCUUUUGGCGAAAACAGUCCAAAUUUCCCAACAAUGCUGAUGGAAUUGCACUAACCCAGUUGUCUAGGUUUGAUUUUGCAUUAUCAGUCAAGAAUGAGCACAUAACUGGAGAGGUAGAGGUACUGGAUGCUAAAGAUCCUAAGUAAUCUUCAUGCUUUGAGAAAUGGUAAUUUUAAGCACUUCUCUUAAUUUAGAAAAGGGUGAUGUUAAAGUAGUUAUUUUGUCUAAUAAAACUAUAAAAGAGAGGUUGACUUAGGACAAUCCUAAAGAGUGAUAAGGCUUAAGGAUUUAGAAGAGAGUUGAUUAAAAGAGAAAAAAGAAGGGAUAGAUGGGGAGAAUUAGACAAAACAUGUUCGAUUCAUAGAAAUCUUAAUUCAAACAAUGAAAGAAUAAGUAGUGCAAAUCUAAAGACAUUGGUUUUGAGGAGGAAGAAUGACAUCGGUGCCUCUCUUUGUGACUAGCUUGACUUCAUUGUGAGGUUGUCCACUGGUCUCUGUUGUUGGUUAGCUCUAACAAAGGUUUUUAGUAGUUUGGGGUUUAGGUAGUAGCAUAAUUUGGGAAGAGAGGAAAGGAAGAUAGAAAACAGAUCACUUAUUGGACUAAUUUCAAUUCCUCCGAAAUGAGACGCGUGAAAGUGUGAACUCUUCAUCCUUAAGAGAUACUGUUUGAGGUAGAAUGAGUCGUAGUUAAUUUUUAUUAUCUUUAUUAUUAUUUUUCCUUUCUUUUCUUUUCCUUCCUCUAUUCCCAAAAAAUAUAAAUGCUUCACUUUGCUCGGAAUGUUGGUGUGGGACCAUAUUAAUUAUAGGUCAUGAUUACUUGUUAGUAUUCUGCUGUCUCAUAACCAGGAUUCAAAAUGUUGGUUUGCCACUGAUUAUGACCUCAUCUCAUGCUGGUAGGAUACCGGUACCGAGUUGCACCAGUUCAUAGUUUGAGUUAGUACCCAAAUCGUUUCUCCUAUUUUUUUUGUGUUUCAAGCAAAAAUAACAAAACUAGGAUAUCUGAAAAUGCUAGAAUUAGUGCAUGCACAUAACUUUAAUAAUGAAUCACAAGCAAUGUACAACCAUACGGACUUGUAGAUCCCAUGUCAAUUUAGGUUUCAUCCUUAUGGAUCUAAAUUUAGGUUAGAUAUACACAAAUCUAGAUUAGAUCCGCUGGGUAGGUUUAGGUUAGAUUUGUGCUAAUUUGACUUAAACCAUGUGAAUCUUAGUUGGAUCCCUUUGAAUUCAUGCUUGAUUUAACCAGAAGUUCAAUUAUAAAAACACUAUAUUACUGUCUAUACUAAAGUUUAGUGCUAGGUUGCAAACCCCUACCAACUGGCAUCAUUGGUGCACUAAUCAAACCGAGCUAGGGUGAAAUCACAUGUCUGCACUCCAUUACACUUAAAAACUUAGAUUUGGGGUUAAGUUGUAUAUCGGUGGUGUCAAAAAAUAGAGAGAGAGAGAGAGAGAGAAAAGAAGGUUGAGUGUGCUAGGAGAUAAUUUGUUUACUGAAUAUUACAUAAAUAAAAUUAGAAAAGUGGAUCACCUAGUUUUCUAGGAAAAUAAUUUUUAUUUUUCAUUGAAAAAUGUUCUUUAGAAAAAAAUUUCUCUUGAAAUUUUCUUGUGAAAUAUUAUUAAAAAUAGAAAAUAUUGUUGGGAUAUGGAUUAUCUUGAACAAGAAAAUUUGCUUAAGAGUGGAUAGGUUGAAAGAACAAAUGUAAAAACAAGAAAAGAACAAGGAGGAUAACACUAAAAGUCAGUUCACUUGUUUUGAAUUUAUCCCAUUAUUUGUUCCCCUGUCUUGCUCACUAUUCUCAAUAAUGAAAUUACACGUGUAUGCAAAUGAUAUAUGAUCAUAUUCCCAUUUUUAUAAAAAUUAAUAUAUCCAAACAAGAGUACUAAAGACUCUAAAAUGAUCUGAUAGGAUUUGAUAAGAAUAUAUUGGGUCAAUGAACUGUUCUGGUGCAUUUCCACAAAAUAUUGGUUCCAUCUUGGUGAAAAGCCACUUCUGAUAGACAUUUGUGACCAUUCUGACCUUAAUUUUAAUGAUGCUUUGAGCAUGACAAAACAGUAGCUUUAAACUUGUGUUAAAAUUCCUGGAGGUCUUAGCAAGUUAACCAAAGAUUCUUAAUUAUGCUAUGAUUUGAUGAUUUUUGGAGACAUGCUUCCAUAGAUCAUAGUUCUAUUAUAGAAGAUAUUGAUCUUGCUUCACAUUUACUUUUAUUUGUCAUGAAAGGAAUUUUCUUGUGUCUAGCUUAACUGCAAUCUUUUAGAAGCCUGAUCAAAAGCUUUUUGUCCAUGCUAGCUAUUACAAUUUUUCAUUGGCUAAUUCUCCAUUUGUAGAAAAUUCAAAUGAGCACUUUUUGUUUCACCAUAUUUAUGAUUUGAUAUUUAUUUCACCAUCCACCAGCAGUUAAAUUUAUUUCAUCAAUUCUUCUUAUGAGCACUUUUUGUUUGUUUGUUUGUUUCUUUACUGAAACUACUUGUCUACAAGUAUGUACCAUAGCUUGUUGGCUGAUAUUCUUCUUAACUUAGCUGUAAUCAGUUUAUUCAUCAUAGUUUUAUGAUCUAAAGCUGGUUUCAGUCACAUAUAACAGUUGCAAAUGCUGGUUUUCUAUUCACCCGUAUAAGUUGCUGAUGAAGGCAGCAGAAAGUAACUUGUUGCUACCAAACUGUAGGCCCUACCUUUACCAACAACCCAUACUAGUUUAAAGUCAUUGUUGCUUCUGCCAGUUUACACUCUACAAUAUUAUUUGACCUGAAAUAAUUUUUUUACUUUAUCAAGUAUAACAGCAAGAAGCCCUGAUGUCCCAAUUAUUUCAAAUCAGCUUCACUACUCUAUCGAGGAAAAACGGCUUUAGUGGGUUCAGUCUAGUGUUUAGAUUUAGGAUUUGGUUGCAGUCUACCUGCCUGAUCUCUGGUAAUGAUUGAGUUUUGGUGCUCGAAAAGAGGCAAAUUAUUUCAACUUUCAAGGACUACUAGCUAAAAUUAUUUUAGCAUAAUUUAAACAUUUACCGACGGCAUAAUAAAGCAUGGCAUGGAUGAAUUUGGCAAAAUGACAAUUUCUUGUAUGCAACUUACUAUGAAAGAGAGUUGAAGGGCUACUUCUCCUGCCAUCUCAGUUUCCUACUUUGUUUUUCCUAUUUAACAUAUUAUCCAGUGCCUCUUUGUUAUGAUUUCGGUGGAACUUAAUGCUGAAAUGGCAGUUACACAAUCUUGGGAUGGAAGUGUUCUCCAGGAAAACUACAAGAAUAGAUUGACAAACCCAGCGUUGUCAAAACAAGUAAAUUUCAUAUCUGAAGCUUGGUAUGAUGAUAUGCAGAUUCCAAGAAUUUUUGGAAAACCGUCUUGGGGGUUGUCACUCAACUGAGCUCUUUCAACAUCUAAAGAUGGCAGAAGCAGAAAACUGUGCUCAAAGCUGCCUGCUUGCCUUUUCACUAUCAAGUUAAAAUCUCCUGGACUCCGUAACACUCAAGGUUAGUACAAAGAUUGGUCAGAGCCUUCCGCAAGAACCAUGUCGGAAGCCCAAAGGUAUAAAUGGCAAUGCGAACCUUAUAUUAACAUUUAUUUAAAUGGCAGAUUUUUUUUUUUUGUAGAAAAUACCAUAUGAGUUGGUGAGGUGAUCAACUACUCAGGCUUGCAUAUUUACCUUCAGAGCUUGCUCGUUUGCAAAUAAUUCGUUGAAUAUAAUUUUUUUCUGGAAAAUAGAAGUUGAAUAUAUUUUUUUUCUGGAAAAAUAAGUGUCUUGCACUGAAAUUUUGUAG